AUAGCAGUUCGAAAGAACUAUUAAUACUCCAUAGGUUUAUGAAAUAAUAAAUUAAAGGGAGCUCCCCCGGGGGCUCCGCGUAAAAAUAGGAAUUUGUCCUAUUAGGUUGUUGGUGGGGUAAAGGCCUACCAAGCCAAUGAUGGGUAGCUGAACUGAGAGGUUGAACAGCCGCAAUGGGAUUGAGAUAUGGCCCAUAUUCCUACGGGAAGCAGCAGUGAGGAAUUUUUCACAAUGGACGAAAGUCUGAUGGAGCAAUACCACGUGAACGAUGAAGGUCUUCUGAUUGUAAAGUUCUUUUAUUUAGGAAAAAAAGCGCGCUAGGAAAUGAGCGCGCCUUGAUGGUACUAAUUGAAUAAGUGACAGCUAACUAUGUGCCAGCAGCUGCGGUAAAACAUAGGUCACAAGCAUUAUCCGGAUUUAUUGGGCGUAAAGGAAGCGUAGGCGGGAAGGUUGAUCCAUUGUUAAAGGCAUUUGCUUAACAAAUGUAUGCGAUGGAGAUCGCCUUCCUAGAAUUAAUCAGGGGGUACUGGAAUUCAAUGUGUAGCGGUGGAAUGCGUAGAUAUAUUGAGGAACACCAGAGGCUAAGGCAAGUACCUGGGAUAUAAUUGACGCUGAGGCUUGAAAGCGUGGGGAGCAAAUGGGAUUAGAUACCCCAGUAGUCCACGCCGUAAACGAUGAGCAUUAGGUAUUUGACGCUAUGUCGAGUGCUGUAGCUAACGCGUUAAAUGCUCCGCCUGGGUAGUAUAUAUGCAAAUAUGAAACUCAAAGAAAUUGACGGGGACCUGAACAAGUGGUGGAGCAUGUUGCUUAAUUCGAUAAUACACGAAAAACCUUACCCAGGCUUGUUAUCUACUGCAAAACUAUAGAAAUAUAGUGGAGUAUAUCAGUAAGACAGGUGGUGCAUGGCUGUCGUCAGCUCGUGUCUUGAGAUGUUUGGUUAAGUCCCGUAACGAGCGCAACCCUACUCUCUAGUUAAUUAGUUCUAGAGUGACUGAAUCGUAAGAUAUAGGAAGGUUGGGGCCAGGUCAAGUCAUCAUGCCCCUUAUGCCUUGGGCUGCAAACGUGCUACAAUGGUAGGUACAAUGUGUUGCAAUCUAGCGAUAGUGAGCUAAUCACCGAAAACCUAUCUCAGUC
rnacentral:rRNA from 1 species